ACCUGGGAACUGCAGUGGAUACUGGGCGACUAGAGUGUGGUAGAGGGUAGCGGAAUUCCUGGUGUAGCAGUGAAAUGCGUAGAGAUCAGGAGGAACAUCCAUGGCGAAGGCAGCUACCUGGACCAACACUGACACUGAGGCACGAAAGCGUGGGGAGCAAACAGGAUUAGAUACCCUGGUAGUCCACGCCCUAAACGAUGCGAACUGGAUGUUGGGUGCAAUUUGGCACGCAGUAUCGAAGCUAACGCGUUAAGUUCGCCGCCUGGGGAGUACGGUCGCAAGACUGAAACUCAAAGGAAUUGACGGGGGCCCGCACAAGCGGUGGAGUAUGUGGUUUAAUUCGAUGCAACGCGAAGAACCUUACCUGGCCUUGACAUGUCGAGAACUUUCCAGAGAUGGAUUGGUGCCUU
rnacentral:rRNA from 1 species